UGAUCCAGGUAAACAACAGCGAGAAGUGCAGGGAGAGCUGGAAAACAGACAUGCUGGAAGAUCUAGAGGACCGGAAUACCUGACUCUGAACGAAGGAGCAAAGCUCAAUAUUGAGACAAUAGAUCACGUUGAUUUUCAAUUACAAUGGAUAAAUGUAAAGGCAGGAGGCCUGAUAUGAAACGACGACCAUAUGUAGCAGAAAAUACCUGAUGAUGCACUGAAAAGCAAAUGUUAAGACCCACCUAUGUAUGAGAUCAAAUGUCCAAUUCCAUAUAGUCCUAUUAUAUUGAGGAGAUUGAGUUUAUAGAAGAUUGCAAUGUAAGAACAUUCUAUUGCAUUUUACACAAACAUUCAGAUUUUCAUUUUCUGCGAUCUUGGUUCCAGGUGUCACAUCAUAAAUCAAUAACAUGCUGCUUCCACUUCCAGAGGUUCAAGUUGUGCAUAUCUGACAUCGGUCUGUUUGACCACGGAUUUUUCUUUAAAUCGUCAAUCAUGACCCUUUAAAUAAUGUUUAAAAAAAGAUCAGGAAAACCCAUUGGUUUGUUUUCUAAACGCCUGUAAAUGACACAUGAGUGAUUCAGGACACUAUCAUGGAAUCUGUGCAAGUGAAGUACGGAGAAGAACCCGUUAGUUUCGCUACCGCCGUGUUGCUGACACACUAACCUCCGUUAGACAAACGGGAACAACAGUUAGCAAAGUGUUCCCGUCUUAAGAAACUGUCAGAAUUUUAAAAAACUGAUUUAAAGAAGCCAGACAGACCCCGGGUGGACAGAAACUGGCUGCCUAGCUUAGACCCUCAUCAUCAUCAUCAUCAUGACAGUGGUAGUCAGCGUCGAUACGGAUGGAAGCCCUGUACGUUGUGGUUCUGCCCCCUGCCGAACGCGUUUGCAGUAGGUUGGGGGGCGGCGCCGGGCUGUGCUGUCUGGGCCACGUACGAGGCGGCCGGCUGGCUGGGGUCUGCAAAGCUGUGGGCGAAGGCCGUCAGGUCCUGACCAUAUCCUGAGAAGACAAUGCUGUCACCUACCUGCACUAUAUCCUCCCUGCUCAUCCUGAACAUAACUGUGAGAUGGACGCGUUGGUCCGUAGGAAGAGGGAUCCUGAGGGUAGUUACCCAAGCCUAUCAGGGAGAUGAGGAGACCAGGUUGACUGAACCCAGAUACUGCUGGCCAACUACUUAUAUAGUUACCCCCCGCUUACUGAGCUAGCAGAGCUGGACAUUUAUACUCGGGUCUGCAGAUACUUUUUUUCGGAUUCUGCUGGAAGUCAAAAGUAGGUGUGAAUGGGAGCUAUUUGACUGUAUGAGAAAGGU